GAAAAAGUGUGGGAUUCCAAGGGAUUAAGCUAAUAAAGGCGGUGAGCCCUCUAACAAGGGCAAAGAGAUUGUGCCCAAAGACCGGGAAUAGGAAUAUAUCAAACUCCUAGUACUGCUCGAGGUAGCUUGUGGAUAGCAGAUAUCAUCAAGGAUUAUGUCGGCUUUACUACUCCAAAAAUUGCAGGUUUACUACCUUUGUGCACUUUUGUUCUUUGUGGGCCUACGAGUCACUAUAAAGUAAAUUUCAUAUCUCAAUUAUCUGUAUUAUAGUACGUAUGAAUUUAUUUAGCUUUUAGAUUACAAAA